rnacentral:rRNA from 1 species
UACGUAGGGGGCAAGCGUUGUCCGGAAUGACUGGGCGUAAAGGGCGUGUAGGCGGUUAACUAAGUCCGGAGUGAAAUUCCCGCAUUCAAUGUGGGAAGUGCUUUGGAGACUGGAUGACUUGAGUGCGGAAGAGGUAAGUGGAAUUCCCAGUGUAGCGGUGAAAUGCGUAGAGAUUGGGAGGAACACCAGUGGCGAAGGCGACUUACUGGGCCGUAACUGACGCUGAGGCGCGAAAGCGUGGGGAG